CUGUUGCUAGGUCAAAUACAUGUCCCCCUGACCCUUCUGUUGGACAUACUGUUGCUAGGUGAAACACAUGUCCCUAUGACCCUUCUGUUGGACUUACUGUUGCUAGGUCAAAUACAUGUCCCCCUGACCCUUCUGUUGGACAUACUGUUGCUCGGUCAAAUACAUGUCCCCCGGACCCUUCUGUUGGACAUACUGUUGCUAGGUGAAACACAUGUCCCUAUGACCCUUCUGUUGGACUUACUGUUGCUAGGUCAAAUACAUGUCCCCCUGACCCUUCUGUUGGACAUACUGUUGCUCGGUCAAAUACAUGUCCCCCGGACCCUUCUGUUGGACAUACUGUUGCUAGGUCAAAUACAUGUCCCCCUGACCCUUCUGUUGGACAUACUGUUGCUAGGUCAAAUACAUGUUCCCCGGACCCUUCUGUUGGACAUACUGUUGCUAGGUCAAAUACAU
rnacentral:lncRNA from 1 species